UUUCCGUAGGUGAACCUGCGGAAGGAUCAUUCAUAAUACAGUGUUUUAUGGCACUUUUUAAAAAUCCAUAUCCACCUUGUGUGCAUUGUUAGAUCUCGUCAAUCUUGGCGAGAUUUUUAUACAUCAACUCAUUCUUUAACUAAUUUGUCUGAAAAAUAUUAUGAAUACUUAAUUCAAAAUACAACUUUCAACAACGGAUCUCUUGGCUCUC
rnacentral:misc_RNA from 1 species